AUUAUAAGCCACACACAUACAUUUCUAUAUUUAGUAUUAGCAUUUUCAAUUUCACUGGACGAGUUGUGUUUGUUUGUAUAGGUUCUCACAGACAUGUGUUUUAGCUUUUGCUGGAGUCAGAUUAUUUCAGUUAAUUUGUUGUAUGUUUCGUAGUCAAAUAGUCUGUGAGAUCCGACGGUAGCUAGGUUUGAGUAGAAAAUACCAGGUAUGUCUCUGAGGAAUUAUAAUUAUUUCUUUUGACUGCCUUAUAAAUUUGUUUUCUUAACUACAUUCUUCUUAUGUUCAACAGUCAUUCUAAUCAAUGGUGGAUUUUCUGCUAUUUUCCCAGAGAAGCACACAUCAAAAAGGAUAUAUAGAAGCCUGAAGAAAUAGAGAAAAUCAGUCACAAAAAAAAAUAGAGAAAAUAGUGAAAAGUAUUUUUUCCUCACAAUCGCU
rnacentral:lncRNA from 1 species